rnacentral:rRNA from 1 species
UCAUUAACGAAUUGUCAUCGGGGCUGAUGCUGUACAUGCGUGUGUAUGCUCGCUCCUAACAAUCUUUAUCCAAACACCUGUGCACAUUUAGAGAGAGGGAGCUCGCGGGUUCCCUUCCUCUUAAUUUUACUACACACUGGUUUACAAUAUUGAACGUGAUCGUGCCGUAAGGCCUUAACAUUAAAACAACUUUUAACAACGGAUCUCUUGGCUCUCGCAUCGAUGAAGAACGCAGCGAAAUGCGAUAAGUAAUGUGAAUUGCAGAAUUCAGUGAAUCAUCGAAUCUUUGAACGCACCUUGCGCUCUCUGGUAUUCCGGAGAGCACGCCUGUUCGAGUGUCGUGAAAUUCUCAAGCCAAAGGAAAUUGCUUUGGCUUGGUUGUUGGGCUUUGCCGUCCCCUCGAUUGGGGGGAUGGCUGGCCUUAAAAGCAUUAGCUGGCCCUGAUGUAGGCGUUGGUUCCACUCAGCGUGAUAAUCAUGAUCUUGACCGCCGAGGAUAUCCUUCGGGGUAGCCAUGUGUCUCGUUUGGACCGCUUCUAAUCUGGUUUAACAGAUUCUGCGAAUCUUGUUUCACCUUUUCACCUUUGACCUCGAAUCAGGUGGGACUACCCGCUGAACUUAAGCAUAUCAAUAAGCGGAGGAAAAGAAACUAACAAGGAUUCCCCUAGUAACGGCGAGUGAAGCGGGAAGAGCUCAAAUUUAAAAUCUGGCAGUCUUUGAUUGUCCGAGUUGUAAUCUAGAGAAGCGUUUUCCGCGCU